rnacentral:rRNA from 1 species
GACGAACGCUGGCGGCGUGCUUAACACAUGCAAGUCGAACGGAAAGGCCCUGCUUUUGUGGGGUGCUCGAGUGGCGAACGGGUGAGUAACACGUGAGUAACCUGCCCUUGACUUUGGGAUAACUUCAGGAAACUGGGGCUAAUACCGGAUAGGAGCUCCUGCUGCAUGGUGGGGGUUGGAAAGUUUCGGCGGUUGGGGAUGGACUCGCGGCUUAUCAGCUUGUUGGUGGGGUAGUGGCUUACCAAGGCUUUGACGGGUAGCCGGCCUGAGAGGGUGACCGGCCACAUUGGGACUGAGAUACGGCCCAGACUCCUACGGGAGGCAGCAGUGGGGAAUAUUGCACAAUGGGUGGAAGCCUGAUGCAGCAACGCCGCGUGCGGGAUGACGGCCUUCGGGUUGUAAACCGCUUUCGCCUGUGACGAAGCGUGGGUGACGGUAAUGGGUAAAGAAGCACCGGCUAACUACGUG